UCCUACGGGGGGCUGCAGUAGGGAAUCUUCCGCAAUGGACGAAAGUCUGACGGAGCAACGCCGCGUGAGUGAUGAAGGUUUUCGGAUCGUAAAGCUCUGUUGUUAGGGAAGAACAAGUGCGAGAGUAACUGCUCGCACCUUGACGGUACCUAACCAGAAAGCCACGGCUAACUACGUGCCAGCAGCCGCGGUAAUACGUAGGUGGCAAGCGUUGUCCGGAAUUAUUGGGCGUAAAGGGCUCGCAGGCGGUUUCUUAAGUCUGAUGUGAAAGCCCCCGGCUCAACCGGGGAGGGUCAUUGGAAACUGGGAAACUUGAGUGCAGAAGAGGAGAGUGGAAUUCCACGUGUAGCGGUGAAAUGCGUAGAGAUGUGGAGGAACACCAGUGGCGAAGGCGACUCUCUGGUCUGUAACUGACGCU
rnacentral:rRNA from 1 species